UUUGAAAUUCGGACCUUCUGAAGAGCAGUCGGGUGCUCUUACCCACUGACCCAUCUCACCAGCCCAGGUGUGCACUCUUGUCGCAGGCUCUUGACACCACAACAUUAUACCAUCAUGGACCAUACCACGGACCUAUGAGCUAAGAUGACCCUUUCUUUCCCAUUUGCUUUUCCUAGGGUAUUUUAUUGUAAGAAUAGCAUUGAGACGUACCAAUAAAUUUAAACAUUUUGUUUCUCUUUUGAGGAUUUUAAGAAAUGAAACAUAAAGUAUAUAUUACAUGAAAGGUAUUGUCCAAAGAAUGCCAAGUGCACACAUCUCACUAGUCUAUCUCUUGAUGGACAGCUUCCCUCAGUCUUACUCUCUGUCAGGCAUCAUUCAUUUCUGCAGCCAGGAAACAGCAGAUUCCUACUAUGCUAACCCUGGCUUGACCUACAACUGUAUACUACCUCCAAUCUGAAACUAACUCAAAGGAGGUUAUGGGACUCACAGUGUUACCAGUGGGGUUGUAUAAGCAAGAACCAGUUUCUAAGGGAGAGAUGACUCCCUGGUAGCACUGCCUGCAAGCAGUAUAGCAAACUCCAGGGAUUCAACUCCUCCAAGUCAUCCCCCAUAUUGGGUUGCUUUGUUAGUAACUCAGCUAGCUGACUAUGUCAACCAUAAUCUGAAAAGCUCAAUAAUAAUUUCUCUCCCAUUCACUGGGCUUGAAAUCACUUCAGAGACAAAGUUUUGGUUGUUUUGGGGAGUUUGAGAGAAGCUAAAAAAAAAAAAGAUCAAAGCACCCAGAAUGAAAUGGCUCCAAAUCUUGGCCCAGCUAAGGUGAAAAAUGAGAGGAACACUUUUUAAUCUCCCUAUGUCAGGACAAAAGAUGAAAUGUGACAGGAUACUUUCAACUCCAAAUCAUGCAUUCCACUCCUACCUAGCUCCCUCUCCCCUCCUGCCUCCCUCUUCCCACUAGUUCCCUUCUUAAUCACUUGCCCCCCCUCCUCCCAGCUAUCUCACUGUCCUCCCCAUCCUGUCUCCCACUUCCAACACUGCCUUUCUCACCAUGAUGGACUUCCGAAAAUCAUGGGCCAAGAUAAACCUUUCCUUCCCAUAAUCCUAAAAUAUUUUUGUUGGGUAUUUAUUCGCAGCAACAAGAAAACCCACUGAUGCUCCAAAGCAGUACUUGGGUGGAGCCAUCUCCUAUCUCUCAACAUGCUCUAUCAGGAAGGAAAAGAAGUUCCUUCCCAUCUCCCCAGGAUACAUUUAACAACAAACACCCCAUUAAAAACUUGCUGUAAUCAUUGUCCAGGGUCACUGCCUUGGGUAGUUGACACAUGAGAAGCUCCUGUGACAUCUUGUGAACUGUCACUGCCAUGGAGCCAGGAUCCCACCUCAGUGUUGAGACAUCAGAGCUGGUGCUAAUGUACAGACUUCAAGGAUGUGCCUGUCUAAGAUGAAAAGUGGAUGCAGGAAGGACAAGGGCAAAAGUGACAGAAUUUGUCCAAAGAAAAACAAAGCAGGGGCUUCUCAAAAAGCGAGCUUGCCAUUCCCCCCUCACCCCCCACUCUCCCAUUCCCUGAGAAUCCCACAAGUCAGGAAGGUUUCGGUGGCCCUCUUGUGGCGACCUCAAAUAUUGCUCAAUAUUUUUGGUUGCCUCAUGCAGGUGGUACCAGCUAGAAACAAGGUGUGAAAUAAAACUAUUUUAAAGGUUUCUGUGUUUUCAAAUAAUUCAUUUAACUUAUUAAUUAGAAAAUCUACCAGUGAUUUUAUUUGUUCAAAAUACCCCUGUGUUCGAACAUAUUGCAGGUCAUCACCAUACUUGAUUUCAAAUUAUGCUAUAAAGCUGAAGUAAUAAAAAUCAGAAUGGUACUGACACAUAACCAGACACGGAUUGAACCACUGGAAUAGAAGAUCCAGAUAUAACCGCAUAAGGUCACAUUAUCUCUGACAAAGACACACACACACACACACACACACACACACACACACACACACAUACACACACAUACACACACACACAGACACACACACAUUCAUACAUGAACCCCACUCACAUGCUCUCACACAGACAUACAUGCACAUGCUUAUUCAACUGUCACAUGCAGAAACAUACACACAUGCAUGUCCCAUUCUCAGUCACAAGCUCACACCCACAUAUGCAUACAUACAUGCACAUAAACAUGCUAAAACAAAAAUGCACACCACAUACCUGACCCUGACUUGCACACAUGCUCCCUUCCACACACAUACAAACACAUACACACAAGAAACUCUUUCCCUCACAUGCUCACACAAACACAAAUGCACCCCUGCAACAACUUCACAGACAGACAUUCACACAUGCACUCCCCCAUAUUCUCAUACACACAUUCACACAAGUAACCCAAGCACAUUUGCUCACACUCACAUGCACAAACACCAGAUGACACACAUACAUGCACACACACACACACACACACACACACAUGCAUAUGCAUGUGCAAACCCUGUGCUCACACAUACACAUGCACCCUUCCUACAUGCUCAAAUACAAACAGGAUCACAUACAUCUCCACACACAUGCAAAAACACAUCCUCACAGUCAUUAACAUUCCUACAUGCACCCAUACACUGAAAAUCAAUAUUCACGAAAAAGAAGCCAAUCUUUUCUUCCUGCACAGAACUUAAUUCCAAUUGGAUCAAGGACAUCAACACAGGACUUUGUACUCCAAGGCUGCACCAGAAAUAUCAACGACUCUGCAUCAACACAGAAGUACAGGAGAGGAAUUUCUAAACAAGACCCUUGUGCAGCAGAGGAUGAGAGCAAUUACUGACAAAGGGGACCAUAUGCAGCUGAACACUGAAGUGUCAGAUUUGAGAUACAAACACCAGCUUUGAGGAAAGCUGAAAGAAGAUGGUGACUUUGAGGAAACAAAGCUGUGUGUGCUUCAGGUGACAGAGCUAGAAGAGUGGGAAUUCCUAAGACAUUGUGGCUAAGGCAAUAUCAUCAUAACCUCAAGUUGCUGAACAAGAAACUCUAAGACCUUGUAAUCCAAGAGGAUCUUUCCAGAUGCAUUUAUGUCCAACAUUUUUAUAAUUUAUGGAUGAUUCUGGAUGACUAUGAGAACCCUGCCCUGCUGGAGCUAAACCUGUGCAUUCAGAUGGAGAACUCUCAGGUCCAUCUCCAGCACCACAUCUGCCUGCCUGCCACCAAGCUUCCUGACAUGAUGUCAAUGGACUAAACCUCUGAAACUGUAAGCCAGCUCCAAUUAAAUGCUUUCCUUUAUCAGAGUUGCCGUGGUCAUGGUGUCUCUUCACAGCAAUAGAACACUGACACCUACAAUCAGGAAAAAAAAAUGAUUGCUAUCAACUAGAAUAGAAGAUGAGCAAUAGGCAAAUGAGAAAUGUGAAUAGAUAAAAAUUAUCUGAAAACAUGGUCAAAUCCAGCAAACACCAAGUCAGGUGCUGUAAUCUGCAAGAAGAAGCUGUGGGGAUGAGAAAAGCAGCUCUGUCUGAGAGGAUGGUGCAGAGGGCAUGUGGUAGAGUCUCGCUGACAGGUAGCUUUCUGCAUCCUUCUGUCCUCCUUGGCACUGAGCCUUUCCCAGACCUUCAAGAGAUGUGAAGAGAAACUCUCUACUCUUUAUGUUGGCGCACUUCGAUCUCCUGUAACCACGUCGUGUAUGUCCACAGUAAUUAUUUUCAUGUAAAAAAAUGCAGAGAACUGUGGCCACCUCAGUUUUUUCUAAAUUCAUUUUCAUCGUAUGCUGAAAGUAUUAUUUUAUUCGUGGCAUGCCCAGUGAAAAUGCUCACGUGAAGAUAUAUAGAUGUGAAUAAACCCCCUGAUGCACACUGCCUUACAAAUACGAGCACUCUGAACUUUGAAAGUCCAUUAAGAUGAUCUCUUAGACCUAUCAAGUAUUUCAUAAAAUUUUAAAAUGCUAAUUCCUUGUUUAAAAAAACCACUCAUUAGAGUCAUAAGAUAAAGAUUUCAUUAAGUUACAAAAUGUAAUGUAAUAGACAUAGAUUUUGAUAGAAAUUUCCUUCCAAACAAGUCAAGUUCGAAGUAAAUACAUGUUAGUUGUAGCAAAUAUACCCUAAUUAUAAUUUUGUCUCUUUGUGUAACAGUCAUAGUUAACAUAAAAAUCAUAUGAUUUCUGUUUCAAAAUGUUUUACAAAACGUAUAACACUGCUAAAUGUAAGGUUUUGAUUGGGGUUGGAUGACAUGAAAAAUAAUAUGUAUAAAUGUCUGCUAAAGGUCUUGGAGUCAUUUCCUUUUCUCAGUGUAAAUGACAGGAAUUGUAAAUCCCAAACGAGAGUAAUGUUCAAGGCCUUGAUAUCUAAAAUCUACCUCGCAUGUGAUUACAUAAAUGUGCACUGCCUGCAUGUGCACCAAACUGGCUUCUGCAUAAGUGUUCUUGUAAACUAAAGCCAUUAAACUGGUACAACUUC